rnacentral:rRNA from 1 species
CUCAACUGGGAGGGGUCAUGAGAUACUGGCGGACUUGAGGGCAGUAGAGGGAAGCGGAAUUCCCGGAGUAGUGGUGAAAUGCGUAGAUACCGGGAGGAACACCAGUGGCGAAGGCGGCUUCCUGGACUGUACCUGACGCUGAGGCGCGAAAGCGUGGGGAGCAAACCGGAUUAGAUACCCGGGUAGUCCACGCCCUAAACGAUGGAUACUAGGUAUGGGGGGUAUCGACCCCUCCCGUGCCGAAGCUAACGCGAUAAGUAUCCCGCCUGGGGAGUACGGCCGCAAGGCUAAAACUCAAAGGAAUUGACGGGGGCCCGCACAAGCAGCGGAGCGUGUGGUUCAAUUCGACGCAACGCGAAGAACCUUACCUGGGCUCGAACGGCUGUGGACCGCCGUGGAAACACGGUUUUCCCUUCGGGGACUG